ACAUGCAAGUAGAACGCUGAAGAGAGGAGCUUGCUCUUCUUGGAUGAGUUGCGAACGGGUGAGUAACGCGUAGGUAACCUGCCUUGUAGCGGGGGAUAACUAUUGGAAACGAUAGCUAAUACCGCAUAACAAUAGGUGACACAUGUCAUUUAUUUGAAAGGGGCAAUUGCUCCACUACAAGAUGGACCUGCGUUGUAUUAGCUAGUAGGUGAGGUAACGGCUCACCUAGGCGACGAUACAUAGCCGACCUGAGAGGGUGAUCGGCCACACUGGGACUGAGACACGGCCCAGACUCCUACGGGAGGCAGCAGUAGGGAAUCUUCGGCAAUGGGGGCAACCCUGACCGAGCAACGCCGCGUGAGUGAAGAAGGUUUUCGGAUCGUAAAGCUCUGUUGUAAGUCAAGAACGAGUGUGAGAGUGGAAAGUUCACACUGUGACGGUAGCUUACCAGAAAGGGACGGCUAACUACGUGCCAGCAGCCGCGGUAAUACGUAGGUCCCGAGCGUUGUCCGGAUUUAUUGGGCGUAAAGCGAGCGCAGGCGGUUUGAUAAGUCUGAAGUUAAAGGCUGUGGCUCAACCAUAGUUCGCUUUGGAAACUGUCAAACUUGAGUGCAGAAGGGGAGAGUGGAAUUCCAUGUGUAGCGGUGAAAUGCGUAGAUAUAUGGAGGAACACCGGUGGCGAAAGCGGCUCUCUGGUCUGUAACUGACGCUGAGGCUCGAAAGCGUGGGGAGCGAACAGGAUUAGAUACCCUGGUAGUCCACGCCGUAAACGAUGAGUGCUAGGUGUUGGAUCCUUUCCGGGAUUCAGUGCCGCAGCUAACGCAUUAAGCACUCCGCCUGGGGAGUACGACCGCAAGGUUGAAACUCAAGGAAUUGACGGGGCCCGC
rnacentral:rRNA from 1 species